rnacentral:rRNA from 1 species
GACAGAGGGUGCGAACGUUGUUCGGAAUUACUGGGCGUAAAGCGCGUGUAGGCGGCAGCGCAAGUCGGGCGUGAAAUCCCACGGCUCAACCGUGGAAGUGCACUCGAAACUGCGCAGCUAGAGUCCUGGAGAGGAAGGUGGAAUGUUUGGUGUAGAGGUGAAAUUCGUAGAUAUCAAGCGGAACACCGGUGGCGAAGGCGACCUUCUGGACAGUGACUGACGCUGAGACGCGAAAGCGUGGGGAGCAAACAGG